rnacentral:tmRNA from 2 species
GGGGGCGAUAGGUCUCGACAGGGAAGUUAAGGGCCAGGGAGGCAUGCCGGGGUUACUACUUACCCGAAAACAAGUGGAACUAAACAUAACUGCAGACUCUCACGAGUACGCACUGGCAGCUUAGAGCCGCCACGUCAUCUGGACUCUCUGCCCGCUUUGAGUCCAACAUGGCGUCAUAGAAGCGGGAUAGCCCUUCUGGACGCCCAUGCAGGAGGGUGAAUCUGAAUGGGCUGGGAUCAAUGAUAACCUGUCGGUAGGUGAUCUCUGAUCUGAGAUUAAUAUACCGACUAAGCAUGUAGUCUUUCUGUAUUCUUCUUCUUUGGACGCGGGUUCGAUUCCCGCCGCCUCCACCA